rnacentral:rRNA from 1 species
UACAGAGGGGGCAAGCGUUGUUCGGAAUUACUGGGCGUAAAGGGCGCGUAGGCGGCCUGUUAAGUCGAACGUGAAAUCCCCGGGCUUAACUCGGAACGGUCAAGUGAUACUGUCGGACUAGAGUACAGAAGGGGCAACUGGAAUUCUCGGUGUAGCGGUGAAAUGCGUAGAUAUCGAGAGGAACACCUGCGGCGAAGGCGGGUUGCUGGGCUGAUACUGACGCUGAGGCGCGAAAGCCAGGGGAGCGAACGGG